rnacentral:tRNA from 1 species
GGAGGGUUUGCAUAACUGGCAGUGCACCGGUCCCGAAAACCGGCGGGCUUCGGCCUGUGAGAGUUCGACUCUCUCACCCUCCGCCU